GAGUGAAAUGAUGCUUAACCAUCUUUCGGGACUUACCUAUUAAUGGGGAUAAGUUUUUUCUCACUGAUCACUC
rnacentral:snoRNA from 1 species